UGCAUUUGAAGCCGAGACUAUACGUGAAUUUACAAUUAGACGGACAAAUUCCACUAGGAUGCAGAUGGAAUGUCCAAAAAUGUUUUGACGAGACCCCGGCGAGACAGUUAGAUUUCUACCGAAAUGAGCUUGACCGCAUGAAGAUUUUUCAGAUGGAAUGGGA